rnacentral:rRNA from 1 species
AUUGAACGCUGGCGGCAGGCCUAACACAUGCAAGUCGAGCGGAUGAAGGGAGCUUGCUCCUGGAUUCAGCGGCGGACGGGUGAGUAAUGCCUAGGAAUCUGCCUGGUAGUGGGGGAUAACGUCCAGAAACGGGCGCUAAUACCGCAUACGUCCUGAGGGAGAAAGUGGGGGAUCUUCGGACCUCACGCUAUCAGAUGAGCCUAGGUCGGAUUAGCUAGUUGGUGGGGUAAAGGCCUACCAAGGCGACGAUCCGUAACUGGUCUGAGAGGAUGAUCAGUCACACUGGAACUGAGACACGGUCCAGACUCAUACGGGAGGCAGCAGUGGGGAAUAUUGGACAAUGGGCGAAAGCCUGAUCCAGACAUGCCGCGUGUGUGAAGAAGGUCUUCGGAUUGUAAAGCACUUUAAGUUGGGAGGAAGGGCAGUAAGUUAAUACCUUGCUGUUUUGAAGUUACCAACAGAAUAAGCACCGGCUAACUUCGUG